GGAAUCUUGGACAAUGGGCGCAAGCCUGAUCCAGCCAUGCCGCGUGGAUGAUGAAGGCCCUAGGGUUGUAAAAUCCUUUCGUUGGGGACGAUAAUGACGGUACCCAAAGAAGAAGCGCCGGCUAACUUCGUGCCAGCAGCCGCGGUAAUACGAGGGGGGCUAGCGUUGUUCGGAUUUACUGGGCGUUAAGCGCGUGUAGGCGGGCUGGAAAGUUGGGGGUGAAAUCCCGAGGCUCAACCUCGGAACUGCCUCCAAAACUUCCAGCCUGGAGCAAGAUAGAGGCAAGCGGAAUUGCGAGUGUAGAGGUGAAAUUCGUAGAUAUUCGCAGGAACACCAGUGGCGAAGGCGACUUGCUGGAUCUUUGCUGACGCUGAGACGCGAAAGCGUGGGGAGCAAAC
rnacentral:rRNA from 1 species